rnacentral:rRNA from 1 species
GACGAACGCUGGCGGCGUGCUUAACACAUGCCAGUCGAACGGAAAGGCCUGCUUUCCCUUGUGGAUUGCGGGUACUCGAGUGGCGAACGGGUGAGUAACACGUGAGUGAUCUGCCCCCAACUUGGGUAUAAGCCUGGGAAACUGGGUCUAAUUCCCGAUAGGACUGCAGGGUGGUGCCUGUGGUGGAAAACGAUUUUCUAGUGGUUGGGGAUGAGCUCGCGGCCUAUCAGCUUGUUGGUGGGGUAAUGGCCUACCAAGGCGGCGACGGGUAGCCGGCCUGAGAGGGUGGACGGCCACAUUGGGACUGAGAUACGGCCCAGACUCCUACGGGAGGCAGCAGUGGGGAAUAUUGCACAAUGGGCGGAAGCCUGAUGCAGCGACGCCGCGUGGGGGAUGACGGCCUUCGGGUUGUAAACUCCUUUCGACCGCGAGGAAGCCACCUGGUUGGAAGGGUGGUGACGGUAGUGGUAGAAGAAGCACCGGCUAACUACGU